GACGAACGCUGGCGGCGUGCUUAACACAUGCAAGUCGAACGAGAAUCUACUGAAAGAGUUUUCGGACAAUGGAUGUAGAGGAAAGUGGCGGACGGGUGAGUAACGCGUGAGGAACCUGCCUUGAAGAGGGGGACAACAGUUGGAAACGACUGCUAAUACCGCAUGAAGCAUAGGGGUCGCAUGAUUCUUAUGCCAAAGAUUUAUCGCUUCAAGAUGGCCUCGCGUCUGAUUAGCUAGUUGGCGGGGUAACGGCCCACCAAGGCGACGAUCAGUAGCCGGACUGAGAGGUUGAACGGCCACAUUGGGACUGAGAUACGGCCCAGACUCCUACGGGAGGCAGCAGUGGGGAAUAUUGCACAAUGGGGGAAACCCUGAUGCAGCGACGCCGCGUGAAGGAAGAAGUAUUUCGGUAUGUAAACUUCUAUCAGCAAGGAAGAAAAUGACGGUACUUGACUAAGAAGCCCCGGCUAAAUACGUG
rnacentral:rRNA from 1 species